GACGAACGCUGGCGGCGUGCUUAACACAUGCAAGUCGAGCGGUAAGGCCCUUCGGGGUACACGAGCGGCGAACGGGUGAGUAACACGUGAGCAACCUGCCCCUGACUCCGGGAUAAGCGGUGGAAACGCCGUCUAAUACCGGAUACGACCCGCCACCUCAUGGUGGAGGGUGGAAAGUUUUUCGGUCAGGGAUGGGCUCGCGGCCUAUCAGCUUGUUGGUGGGGUAACGGCCUACCAAGGCGAUUACGGGUAGCCGGCCUGAGAGGGCGACCGGCCACACUGGGACUGAGACACGGCCCAGACUCCUGCGGGAGGCAGCAGUGGGGAAUAUUGCGCAAUGGGCGAAAGCCUGACGCAGCGACGCCGCGUGGGGGAUGACGGCCUUCGGGUUGUAAACCUCUUUUACCACCAACGCAGGCUCGAAGUUCUCUUCGGGUUGACGUAGGUG
rnacentral:rRNA from 1 species